UACGUAUGGUGCAAGCGUUAUCCGGAUUUACUGGGUGUAAAGGGAGCGUAGACGGAGUGGCAAGUCUGAUGUGAAAACCCGGGGCUCAACCCCGGGACUGCAUUGGAAACUGUUAAUCUAGAGUACCGGAGAGGUAAGCGGAAUUCCUAGUGUAGCGGUGAAAUGCGUAGAUAUUAGGAGGAACACCAGUGGCGAAGGCGGCUUACUGGACGGUAACUGACGUUGAGGCUCGAAAGCGUGGGGAGCAAACAGG
rnacentral:rRNA from 1 species